CUGCUGCCUCCCGUAGGAGUUUGGGCCGUGUCUCAGUCCCAGUGUGGCCGGCCACCCUCUCAGGCCGGCUACCCAUCGUCGCCUUGGUAGGCCAUUACCCUACCAACUAGCUAAUGGGACGCGAGUCCAUCUUUCAGCGUCAGGUCUCCCCAACUUUUCCUAUAUAAACAUGCACUUAUAUAACUCAUCCGGCAUUAGCUCACCUUUCGGUAAGUUGUUCCAGUCUAAAAGGCAGGUCACUCACGUGUUACUCACCCGUGCCG
rnacentral:rRNA from 1 species